rnacentral:rRNA from 1 species
GUGGGGAAUAUUGGACAAUGGGCGAAAGCCUGAUCCAGCCAUGCCGCGUGUGUGAAGAAGGUCUUCGGAUUGUAAAGCACUUUAAGUUGGGAGGAAGGGCAUUAACCUAAUACGUUAGUGUUUUGACGUUACCGACAGAAUAAGCACCGGCUAACUUCGUGCCAGCAGCCGCGGUAAUACGAAGGGUGCAAGCGUUAAUCGGAAUUACUGGGCGUAAAGCGCGCGUAGGUGGUUCGUUAAGUUGGAUGUGAAAGCCCCGGGCUCAACCUGGGAACUGCAUCCAGAACUGGCGAGCUAGAGUACGGUAGAGGGUGGUGGAAUUUCCUGUGUAGCGGUGAAAUGCGUAGAUAUAGGAAGGAACACCAGUGGCGAAGGCGACCACCUGGACUGAUACUGACACUGAGGUGCGAAAGCGUGGGGAGCAAACAGGAUUAGAUACCCUAGUAGUCC